CAGCAGCCGCGGUAAUACGGAGGGUGCAAGCGUUAAUCGGAAUUACUGGGCGUAAAGCGCACGCAGGCGGUCUGUCAAGUCAGAUGUGAAAUCCCCGGGCUUAACCUGGGAACUGCAUUUGAAACUGGCAGGCUAGAGUCUUGUAGAGGGGGGUAGAAUUCCAGGUGUAGCGGUGAAAUGCGUAGAGAUCUGGAGGAAUACCGGUGGCGAAGGCGGCCCCCUGGACAAAGACUGACGCUCAGGUGCGAAAGCGUGGGGAGCAAACAGGAUUAGAGACCCCGGUAGUCCCUGUCUCUUAUAC
rnacentral:rRNA from 1 species